CCUACGGGAGGCAGCAGUGAGGAAUAUUGGUCAAUGGACGAGAGCCUGAACCAGCCACGCCGCGUGAAGGAAGACUGCCCUAUGUGUUGUAAACUUCUUUUGUAUGGGAGUAAAAUGUUCCACGUGUGGGAUUUUGUAUGUACCCUAUGAAUAAGCCUCGGCUAACUCCGUGCCAGCAGCCGCGGUAGUACGGAGGAUUCGAGCGUUAUCCGGAUUUAUUGGGUUUAAAGGGAGCGUAGGUGGAUGGUUAAGUCAGUUGUGAAAGUUGGCGGCUCAACCCCAGAAUUGCAGUUGAAACUGUCAGUCUUGAGUGCAGGAGAGGUAGGCGGAAUGCGUGGUGUAGCGGUGAAAUGCUUAGAUAUCACGAAGAACUCCGAUUGCGAAGGCAGCUUACUGGACUGCAACUGACACUGAGGCUCGAAAGUGUGGGGAGCAAACAGGAUUAGAUACCCGUGUAGUC
rnacentral:rRNA from 1 species